rnacentral:rRNA from 1 species
AAAAAAGGUAAGCUACUAAGAGCGAAUGGUGGAUGCCUUGACUGGUAAAGGCGAUGAAGGACGUACUAGACUGCGAUAAGCUACGGGGAGCUGUCAAGAAGCUUUGAUCCGUAGAUUUCCGAAUGGGGCAACCCAAUGUAUAGAGAUAUACAUUACCUAUAUAGGAGCGAACGAGGGGAAUUGAAACAUCUUAGUACCCUCAGGAAAAGAAAUCAAUAGAGAUUGCGUCAGUAGCGGCGAGCGAAAGCGCAAGAGGGCAAACCCAGUGCUUGCACUGGGGGUUGUAGGACUGCAAUGUGCAAGAGCUGAGUUUAGCAGAACAUUCUGGAAAGUAUAGCCAUAGAGGGUGAUAGUCCCGUAUGCGAAAAACAAAGCUUAGCUAGCAGUAUCCUGAGUAGGGCGGGACACGAGGAAUCCUGUCUGAAUCCGGGUCGACCACGAUCCAACCCUAAAUACUAAUACCAGAUCGAUAGUGCACAAGUACCGUGAGGGAAAGGUGAAAAGAACUGAGGUGAUCAGAGUGAAAUAGAACCUGAAACCAUUUGCUUACAAUCAUUCAGAGCACUAUGUAGCAAUACAGUGUGAUGGACUGCCUUUUGCAUAAUGAGCCUGCGAGUUGUGGUGUCUGGCAAGGUUAAGCAAACGCGAAGCCGUAGCGAAAGCGAGUCUGAAUAGGGCGCUUAGUCAGAUGCUGCAGACCCGAAACGAAGUGAUCUAUCCAUGAGCAAGUUGAAGCUAGUGUAAGAACUAGUGGAGGACUGAACCCAUAGGCGUUGAAAAGCCCCGGGAUGACUUGUGGAUAGGGGUGAAAGGCCAAUCAAACUUCGUGAUAGCUGGUUCUCUCCGAAAUAUAUUUAGGUAUAGCGUUGUGUCGUAAUAUAAGGGGGUAGAGCACUGAAUGGGCUAGGGCAUACACCAAUGUACCAAACCCUAUCAAACUCCGAAUACCUUAUAUGUAAUCACAGCAGUCAGGCGGCGAGUGAUAAAAUCCGUCGUCAAGAGGGAAACAACCCAGACUACCAGCUAAGGUCCCUAAAUCUUACUUAAGUGGAAAACGAUGUGAAGUUACUUAAACAACCAGGAGGUUGGCUUAGAAGCAGCCAUCCUUUAAAGAAAGCGUAAUAGCUCACUGGUCUAGUGAUUUUGCGCGGAAAAUAUAACGGGGCUAAAGUAAGUACCGAAGCUGUAGACUUGCGCACAACUUAGAUUAUUUAAGUUUAGAAUAUGAGAAACUAAGUUAUGUUUAGUUAUAUUUUUACUGAUUUUUAUAGAGUAAAGAUAGAAAUAAAACUUAGUAAAAUCAGUAAAAAUAUUCUUAGGCUAAAGUUAAGUAGUUUAAGUUGUGUGCAAGUGGUAGGAGAGCGUUCUAUUUGCGUCGAAGGUAUACCGGUAAGGAGUGCUGGAGCGAAUAGAAGUGAGCAUGCAGGCAUGAGUAGCGAUAAUUAAUGUGAGAAUCAUUAACGCCGUAAACCCAAGGUUUCCUACGCGAUGCUCGUCAUCGUAGGGUUAGUCGGGUCCUAAGUCGAGUCCGAAAGGGGUAGACGAUGGCAAAUUGGUUAAUAUUCCAAUACCAACAUUAGUGUGCGAUGGAAGGACGCUUAGGGCUAAGGGGGCUAGCGGAUGGAAGUGCUAGUCUAAGGUCGUAGGAGGUUAUACAGGCAAAUCCGUAUAACAAUACUCCGAGAACUGAAAGGCUUUUUGAAGUCUUCGGAUGGAUAGAAGAACCCCUGAUGCCGUCGAGCCAAGAAAAGUUUCUAAGUUUAGCUAAUGUUGCCCGUACCGUAAACCGACACAGGUGGGUGGGAUGAGUAUUCUAAGGCGCGUGGAAGAACUCUCUUUAAGGAACUCUGCAAAAUAGCACCGUAUCUUCGGUAUAAGGUGUGGUUAGCUUUGUAUUAGGAUUUACUCCGAAAGCAAGGAAACUUACAACAAAGAGUCCCUCCCGACUGUUUACCAAAAACACAGCACUCUGCUAACUCGUAAGAGGAUGUAUAGGGUGUGACGCCUGCCCGGUGCUCGAAGGUUAAUUGAUGGGGUUAGCAUUAGCGAAGCUCUUGAUCGAAGCCCGAGUAAACGGCGGCCGUAACUAUAACGGUCCUAAGGUAGCGAAAUUCCUUGUCGGUUAAAUACCGACCUGCAUGAAUGGCGUAACGAGAUGGGAGCUGUCUCAAAGAGGGAUCCAGUGAAAUUGUAGUGGAGGUGAAAAUUCCUCCUACCCGCGGCAAGACGGAAAGACCCCGUGGACCUUUACUACAGCUUGACACUGCUACUUGGAUAAGAAUGUGCAGGAUAGGUGGGAGGCUUUGAGUAUAUGACGCCAGUUGUAUAUGAGCCAUUGUUGAGAUACCACUCUUUCUUAUUUGGGUAGCUAACCAGCUUGAGUUAUCCUCAAGUGGGACAAUGUCUGGUGGGUAGU